GAAAUGCGAUAAGUAAUGUGAAUUGCAGAAUUCAGUGAAUCAUCGAAUCUUUGAACGCACAUUGCGCCCGCCAGUAUUCUGGCGGGCAUGCCUGUUCGAGCGUCAUUUCAACCAUCAAGCCCCCGGCUUGUGUUGGGGACCUGCGGCUGCCCGCAGGCCCUGAAAAACAGUGGCGGGCUCGCUGUCACACCGAGCGUAGUAGCAUACAUUCUCGCUCAGGGCGUGCUGCGGGUUCCGGCCGUUAAACGACCUUCAUAACCCAAGGUUGACCUCGGAUCAGGUAGGAAGACCCGCUGAACUUAAAC
rnacentral:misc_RNA from 1 species